GAUGAACGCUGGCGGCGUGCUUAACACAUGUAAGUCGAACGAUGAAGCCCAGCUUGCUGGGUGGAUUAGUGGCGAACGGGUGAGUAACACGUGAGUAACCUGCCCUUGACUCUGGGAUAAGCCUGGGAAACUGGGUCUAAUACUGGAUAUGACUUCUCAUCGCAUGGUGGGGGGUGGAAAGAUUUAUUGGUCUUGGAUGGACUCGCGGCCUAUCAGCUUGUUGGUGAGGUAAUGGCUCACCAAGGCGACGACGGGUAGCCGGCCUGAGAGGGUGACCGGCCACACUGGGACUGAGACACGGCCCAGACUCCUACGGGAGGCAGCAGUGGGGAAUAUUGCACAAUGGGCGCAAGCCUGAUGCAGCGACGCCGCGUGAGGGAUGACGGCCUUCGGGUUGUAAACCUCUUUCAGUAGGGAAGAAGCGAGAGUGACGGUACCUGCAGAAGAAGCGCCGGCUAACUACGUG
rnacentral:rRNA from 1 species